rnacentral:rRNA from 1 species
UCGGACGGGUGAGUAACGCGUGAGAAUCUGCCUUCAGGUUCGGGACAACCACUGGAAACGGUGGCUAAUACCGAAUGUGCAGAAAUGUGAAAUAUUUAUAGCCUGAAGAUGAGCUCGCGUCUGAUUAGCUAGUAGGUGUGGUAAGAGCGCGCCUAGGCGACGAUCAGUAGCUGGUCUGAGAGGAUGAUCAGCCACACUGGGACUGAGACACGGCCCAGACUCCUACGGGAGGCAGCAGUGGGGAAUUUUCCGCAAUGGGCGAAAGCCUGACGGAGCAAUACCGCGUGAGGGAGGAAGGCUCUUGGGUUGUAAACCUCUUUUCUCAAGGAAGAACACAAUGACGGUACUUGAGGAGUAAGCAUCGGCUAACUCCGUGCCAGCAGCCGCGGUAAUACGGAGGAUGCAAGCGUUAUCCGGAAUGAUUGGGCGUAAAGCGUCCGCAGGUGGCUGUGUAAGUCUGCUGUUAAAUAGUGAGGCUCAACCUCAUAAAGGCAGUGGAAACUACAUGGCUAGAGUGCGUUCGGGGCAGAGGGAAUUCCUGGUGUAGCGGUGAAAUGCGUAGAGAUCAGGAAGAACACCGGUGGCGAAAGCGCUCUGCUAGGCCGCAACUGACACUGAGGGACGAAAGCUAGGGGAGCGAAUGGGAUUAGAUACCCCAGUAGUC